rnacentral:rRNA from 1 species
CAUAACCUCGGGAAACUGGGUAUAAUACCCGAUAGGUCUCGAUUGCUGGAAUGCAUCGAGAUUUAAAGCUCCGGCGCCUAAGGAUGGGUCUGCGGCCUAUCAGGUAAUAUUGGGUGUAGCGUACCUACUAGCCUACGACGGGUACGGGUUGUGAGAACAAGAACCCGGAAAUGGAUUCUGAAACACGAAUCCAGGCCCUACGGGGUGCAACAGGCGCGAAAACUUUACAAUGCUGGCAACACCGAUAAGGGAACCUCCAGUGCCAGGUUACAAAUCUGGGUGUCUAGAUGCCUAAAAAGCAUUUCAUAACAAGGGCCGGGCAAGACCGGUGCCAGCCGCCGCGGUAACACCGGCGGCUCGAGUGGUAACCGUUAUUAUUGGGUCUAAAGGGUCUGUAACCGGCCGGAUAAGUCUCUUGAGAAAUCUGGCAGCUUAACUGUCAGGCUUUCAGGAAAUACUGUCUGGCUCGAGGCCGGGAGAAGUGAGAGGUACUUCAGGGGUAAGGGUGAAAUCUUGUAAUCCUUGAAAGACCACCAGUGGCGAAGGCGUCUCACCAGAACGGACCUGACGGCAAGGGACGAAAGCUAGGGGCACGAACCGGAUUAGAUACCCGGGUAGUCCUAGCCGUAAACGAUACUCGCUAGGUGUCUGCCAAUGGUGCGACCGUUGUCCGUGCCGUAAGGAAACCGUGAAGCGAGCCACCUGGGAAGUACAGGCCGCAAGGCUGAAACUUAAAGAAUUGGCGGGGGAGCACCACAACGCGCUGGAGCUCUGCGGUUUAUUUGGAUUCAACGCCCCGAAAUCUUACCCGGGACCGACAGCCAUAUGAAUGCCAAGCUGAAGACUCUGCCCUGAUUAGCUGAGAAGAUGUGCAU